UACGUAGGGGGCAAGCGUUGUCCGGAUUAUUGGGCGUAAAGCGCGUGUAGGCGGCCAGGUAGGUCGGUUGUGAAAAUUGGAGGCUCAACCUCCAGACGUCGAUCGAAACCAUCUGGCUAGAGUCCGGAAGAGGAGAAUGGAAUUCCUGGUGUAGCGGUGAAAUGCGCAGAUAUCAGGAAGACACCGAUGGCGAAGGCAGAUUCUCUGGGACGGUACUGACGCUGAGACGCGAAAGCGUGGGGAGCGAACAGGAUUAGAUACCCGUGGUAAGU
rnacentral:rRNA from 1 species